rnacentral:lncRNA from 1 species
CCGAAAUAUUUCGAUCAUUAGUUCUUAAUCCAUCGGACGAAAUUGCGUUACACACCAUGAACUAAAUAACUUACAACGAUUGGUUCACAUCUCGAGGUUCUACAACGAAAGGAGACAAAGGAAGCUACUUUUGCAGCGACUGAGGCUGCCUUGAAGCGCAAGAAUGACCAACUGAAAGGUCAAUUCGAGAGCGAGAUUGGAGAGACUUUUGCUAGCGCUUCCGUGAUCCAGAACCUUGAAGAAAAAUUGAAAGCACACUACAAAAAACCAGUAUAGUUCUGACGGCACGGCCACCUCCCGGCGGUCAGGCCGCCGACAGGCUACACUAGUCCGUCAGCAUAAUUUUCCCUCGUAAUUAUAAUAAAUGAGCUGGCGGCCAGGUCGCCGGUGCCAUUUUUUAUAAGCUACUAGCUGCCUGGCGGCCAACUCUAAUUUCCCCAAUGGUCGGGAAGAAAUGAGCUAGCCGCCAGCAUCCUAAAACCCUAAACGGUCUGGAGAAAAAUAGUUGACGGUCUGUCCGCUAAGAUAUUUGGAAACCCUAAAUUUUACAACUUGCGUCGUCGUGAUCCUCCGUACAGUCAACUCGAACUUAAGUAUUUUCUGACGGCCAAGCCGUCAGGAUAUUUUAUAUAUAUGCAAAAAAUUCUAGAUUCUUUCCAUUUCUCAAAACUUCUCCCCACUCCUCCUCAUUCAUCCCCAACAAACCUCUGGCGAUUUGAGCAUCUCCAAGCACAUUUUGAAGGUAAUUUUCUACCCUUCUUCUUCAUCUUCCUCUUCUUCUUCUUCUUAUCCACUUAUAUUUCAUCUCAUCUUUUCUUCUUCUACAUUUUCAUUUUUUUCUUUAUCUUUUUAUUUAGUUCUUCAUUUGAUGUAUCACUACAAAAAACCAGCGCAGUUCUGGCGGUAAAUUCCGGCGGCCAGGCCGCCGGUAUAAUAGUUCCUGGCGGCCAAGCCGACGAUAUUCCAUCGCCGAAAGUAAUAUGACCGGAAUUGUGAAAUACCGACGGCCAAACCGCCGGCAAAAUAUUGUGGAUUCCGAUUUUAACAGAAAUGGUCCCGGCGGCUUAGUCGCCGGAAUAUUUUUUUGAAAAUUAUAUCCCGGCGGCCUGGCCGCUAGUAGUUUAAAUUAUUAAAAAAAUUCCUGACGGCUAGGCCGCUGGUCAAUAUUUCCCGGUAGGAAAAAAAAUUCCUCGGGAAAAAAUUUCUGGCAGUCAAGCACUGGUUCAUUUUUGAAAAAAUUUAAAAAAAAUUUUUUUGUGUGAAAUUAAUAAAUUGAAAUUGGAAUUGAAUUUGAAGUUGAAUAUUGAAUGUACGACAAAAAUUAAAUUCGUUAAUUACUAAUUUAAUUUCUUUUUUUCGCUUUUCUUCUUUUUUUAGUUCCGACCACCUUUCGUAACGCCUCUUUUGUGAAGAUAAUCGGUCUUCCUCCGUGCGGUUGUGGAGUAAUGUGCUCCUCUUGUGGCGUAGUUUGUUGAAACGGCGUAGUUUCGUUUGUUGGUACUUGAGAUGCGGCUCUAGAAGUUGACGCUCCAGAAGAAUUUAUGUUGAACCCUCCCACGGGAUGCGCUGCAGGGUUGUUGAAGAUUGGCGGAAAUUCCGGUAAGCGCAAGUUCGGAUUUUGAGCGAGCAUUGCCGUGUUGUACUGUUCCAAAAACGCCAUUUGACGAGUCAUAACGCCAUUUGACGAGUCAUCGCCUCAUUCUGACGAGUCAUCGCCUCAUUCUGACGAGUCAUCGCCUCAUUCUGACGAGUCAUCGCCUCAUUCUGACGAGCCAUCGCCCUCUCGAUAGCCUCAUUGACCUUAUCUUCAACCUCUGCUUCGGUCAUCGCAGCUUUUCCUUUAUCCAUGCAGAAGUUCCCUACAUUCAUCCGAUGCGUUGUCUUCUUGCUC